UGCAAGUCGCACGGUAUGGGGGUAACUUCAUGCAGUGGCGGACGGGUGAGUAACGCGUAGGAAUCUAUCCUUGGGUGGGGGAUAACCGUGGGAAACUACGGCUAAUACCGCAUGAUGCCUGAGGGCCAAAGUCGCCAGGGUAACUUGGUGGCGUCUGGGGAGGAGCCUGCGUCUGAUUAGGUAGUUGGUGGGGUAAAGGCCUACCAAGCCUUCGAUCAGUAGCUGGUCUGAGAGGAUGAUCAGCCACAUUGGGACUGAGACACGGCCCAAACUCCUACGGGAGGCAGCAGUGGGGAAUAUUGGACAAUGGGGGCAACCCUGAUCCAGCAAUGCCGCGUGGGUGAAGAAGGUUUUCGGAUUGUAAAGCCCUUUUGGCGGGGACGAUGAUGACGGUACCCGCAGAAUAAGCUCCGGCUAACUUCGUGCCAGCAGCCGCGGUAAUACGAAGGGGGCUAGCGUUGCUCGGAAUGACUGGGCGUAAAGGGCGCGUAGGCGGCUUACACAGUCAGGCGUGAAAUUCCUGGGCUCAACCUGGGGACUGCGUCUAAUACAUGUAGGCUUGAGUGUGAAAGAGGGUCGUGGAAUUUCCAGUGUAGAGGUGAAAUUCGUAGAUAUUGGAAAGAACACCGGUGGCGAAGCGGCGACCUGGUUCAUUACUGACGCUGAGGCGCGAAAGCGUGGGGAGCAAACAGGAUUAGAUACCCUGGUAGUCCACGCUGUAAACGAUGUGUGCUGGAUGUGGGGUGCUUAGCACUUCAGUGUCGUAGCUAACGCGGUAAG
rnacentral:rRNA from 1 species